UUCUUCUUCUCUAUAUACAUACCACCAUUCCAAAACAUUGACAAGCAAAAGGGUCCUUCUUCUUUGUUUUGUCUGUCUGUCUGUCGUCGAUAUUCACGGCUACAAGAAAAGAAAGUACACACCACCCUUUCUCAAGAGCUCUGGUUUUGGAAAGUCAGCAUUUGGCAUUAAUCAGAAAGGAAGUAGAAUAACAUCAUAUAUUGCAACUCUAGAGAACGAUAUCACAGGACCCGGUGGUGGAAAAAUUCAAUCCAUUUGUGGAAUAUAAUGCAGACUUAUAAAGAUAAAAGCCAGGAGGAGUUGAGGUUUAAGGACUACUAGUUAGGUGAUAAAGUUACCCAAGAGAUUAUGAGGAAAAGAGACAGAAGAUGUGUUAUUUGCAACAGAUGCAAAGGAAGGAAACAUAGAUUCAGUUACUUGACGAAAAAGAAAAGAGCAAUGAAGUGGAACAAACAAAAACAUGGAGGAGUUACGGAUAAAUUGUUGGAUUUUUCCUUAUGAUUGUAGUCUUUGUUGACAUAACGGUAAGGUUACUUAAAUAGAGUAGCAGGUACCGGUGCUUUGAUUUGUCCUCAUAUUCUCUUAACUUUGAAAUGCUUUUUACGAUUCCUUUCUAGCACUAAUUUCAAGUCUCUAUGUUAGCACUAUUUUUGGCUGUGGGGAUUAUCUGAUUACUAUUUUCUUUUAUCAGGUUGAACAAGCAUGGUUACCAUGACUCAUCGUGAUACUUGCAAUCAUACUAAAACUUGUCAUGUCAAUUAGUUGUACAUACUUUGGAUAAUAUUGCACUAUGAAUGUACAUGUUAAGAAAAUACAACUAAAUUAUUGGAAUCAAAGGGCUAGAAAAUAUAUUAAGCUAAAGAGAACAUCUUUUGUCACUUCAAGAAGUAAUUAAUUUGUGAGUAGUGAUGAAAAGACAAUGGUAGAUUUCUUUUGAUGAUAAGGUUUUUACCAUAACAUGUAUUCUUUGAUGAUAAGUUGGUUUUAGCUUGACUUUAUUGCAUUAAGUUGUAGCACAUAAAUGAUGACUGGAUGCGAUGAAAUGGGACAAAGUGAAUUUGAUAUCACAUGGAGGAAUGUUGUCUCAAUUGUGAGAAAUGU